rnacentral:rRNA from 1 species
GAUGAACGCGGCGGAUGCUUAACACAUGCAAGUCGAACGGGGCCCUUUCGGGGGUUCAGUGGCGGACGGGUGAGUAACGCGUAAGGACCUGCCCUUGGGAAGGGGAUAACAGUUGGAAACGACUGCUAAUACUCUAUACCCUGAGGAGGCAAAGGAGAGAUCCGCCCAAGGAGGGACUUGCGUCUGAUUAGCUAGUUGGUGAGGGAAUGGCUCACCAAGGCCACGAUCAGUAGCUGGUUUGAGAGGAUGAUCAGCCACACUGGGACUGAGACACGGCCCAGACUCCUACGGGUGGCGGCAGUGGGGAAUCUUCCGCAAUGGGCGAAAGCCUGACGGAGCAAUGCCGCGUGGAGGCAGAAGGCCCAUUGGGUCGUAAACUCCUUUUCUCAGAGAAGAAGAGAUGACGGUAUCUGAGGAAUAAGCAUCGGCUAAAUCUGUGCCAGCAGCCGCGGUAAGACAGGUGAUGCAAGCGUUAUCCGGAUUGAUUGGGCGUAAAGCGUCUGUAGGUGGCUUGGUAAGUCUGCUGUCAAAGCCCCGGGCUUCACCCUGGACAGGCAGUGGAAACUACCGAGCUUGAGUACGGUAGGGGCAGAGGGAGUUCCCGGUGGAGCAGUGAAAUGCGUAGAGAUCGGGAAGAACGCCCAUAGCGAAGGCACUCUGCUGGGCCGACACUGACACUCAGAGACGAAAGCUAGGGGAGCGAAUGGGAUUAGAGACCCCAGUAGUCCUAGCCGUAAACGAUGGAUACUAAGCGCUGCGCGUAUCGACCCGUGCAGAGCUGAAGCUAACGCAUUAAGUAUCCCGCCUGGGGAGUACGCUCGCAAGAGUG